CCGCGGGGCAGCCGCCCCACGGGAACUGUCACCGGUACCUGACACGGCCGGUGCAG
rfam:Streptomyces uncialis strain DCA2648 scaffold8, whole genome shotgun sequence.